rnacentral:misc_RNA from 1 species
CCAAUAGCGUAUAUUAAAGUUGUUGCAGUUAAAAAGCUCGUAGUUGAAUUUCGGGAUUGACACAUCGGUCGUGCCUUAAGGGGUAUGAACUGGUGUAGUCAAUUUCUCACCUUCUGGAGAACCGCGAUGCCCUUAAUUGGGUGUCACGGGGAACCAGGACCUUUACUUUGAAAAAAUUAGAGUGUUUAAAGCAGGCAUUUUGCUUGAAUACAUUAGCAUGGAAUAAUAAAAUAGGACGGCAUGAUUCUAUUUUGUUGGUUUCUAGGAUCACCGUAAUGAUUAAUAGGGAUAGUUGGGGGCAUUAGUAUUCAAUUGUCAGAGGUGAAAUUCUUGGAUUUAUUGAAGACUAACUACUGCGAAAGCAUUUGCCAAGGAUGUUUUCAUUAAUCAAGAACGAAAGUUAGGGGAUCGAAGACGAUCAGAUACCGUCGUAGUCUUAACCAUAAACUAUGCCGACUAGGAAUCAGACGAUGUUAAUUUUUUAAUGACUCGUUUGGCACCUUACA